rnacentral:rRNA from 1 species
CGCCCUACGGGGCGCAGCAGUGGGGAAUAUUGCACAAUGGGGGAAACCCUGAUGCAGCGACGCCGCGUAUAGGAAGAAGGUUUUCGGAUUGUAAACUAUUGUCCACAGGGAAGAAAAUGACUGUACCUGCGAAGAAAGCUCCGGCUAACUACGUGCCAGCAGCCGCGGUAAUACGUAGGGAGCAAGCGUUAUCCGGAUUUAUUGGGUGUAAAGGGUGCGUAGACGGGAUAACAAGUUAGUUGUGAAACCCCUCGGCUUAACUGAGGAACUGCAACUAAAACUAUUAUUCUUGAGUGCAGGAGGGG